GACGAACGCUGGCGGCGUGCUUAACACAUGCAAGUCGAACGGAAAGGCCCUGCUUUUGUGGGGUGCUCGAGUGGCGAACGGGUGAGUAACACGUGAGUAACCUGCCCUUGACUGUGGGAUAACUUCAGGAAACUGGGGCUAAUACCGGAUAGGAGCUCCUGCUGCAUGGUGGGGGUUGGAAAGUUUCGGCGGUUGGGGAUGGACUCGCGGCUGAUCAGCUUGUUGGUGGGGUAGUGGCUUACCAAGGCUUUGACGGGUAGCCGGCCUGAGAGGGUGACCGGCCACAUUGGGACUGAGAUACGGCCCAGACUCGUACGGGGGGCAGCAGUGGGGAAUAUUGCACAAUGGGCGGAAGCCUGAUGCAGAAACGUCGCGAGCGGGAUGACGGCCUUCGGGUUGUAAACCGCUUUCGCCUGUGACGAAGCGUGAGUGACGGUAAUGGGUAAAGAAGCACCGGCUAACUACGUG
rnacentral:rRNA from 1 species